CUUGUUGCUGCGGCAACAGUUUUCACGCUCGUCUCCGUGCGAAGUGAGUGUCGGAAUGCAUGACUGCGGUGACCGGAACGUCGCGGCGUUAAUGCUCGAAUCGGUGCAUUACAUUGGUAGAACUUGGUUUCACUGGUUAGCUUCUAACCAGGCACUUUUAGACUUGUUGUGGCUUACUGGAUUCAGUUGUGACAUGCCUUAGAAAGCAAUAAGAAUCUCUUACAGCCAUCCGCUGGCGUAAUUAGGAUUGCAGGUUAAGUUUAGAAAUCGCGCUUUACAGACAGCCGAGUCUAGUCGACGGUGCGCCGAUCAUGGCCUAGGAUUUUAACCAAAACCAUUGCUCUGUUCAACAAUUUGUGAUCCAAUGCCUUCCGCAGAGCUUAGUUGAUUCUGGUUAGGAAAUCAGCUCCUAAGUGAUCAGAAAGGUAAGAUUUUAAGUACUUCUGUCCACGACCUACGUAUAAUUUACACCGUUGUUAAGA